rnacentral:rRNA from 1 species
UGUGUAGGCGGUGCUCUAAGUUCGGUGUGAAAUCUCCCGGCUUAACUGGGAGGGUGCGCCGGAAACUGGAGUGCUCGAGCGUGGGAGAGGAAAGCGGAAUUCCUGGUGUAGCGGUGAAAUGCGUAGAUAUCAGGAGGAACACCUGUGGUGUAGACAGCUUUCUGGACCGUAGCUGACGCUGAGACACGAAAGCGUGGGUAGCAAACA